rnacentral:tRNA from 1 species
GAGGGCUUAGCUUAAUUAAAGUGAUUGAUUUGCGUUCAGUUGAUGCGGAGUAGAGUACUGCAGUCCUUA